rnacentral:rRNA from 1 species
AACGAACGCUGGCGGCAGGCCUAACACAUGCAAGUCGAGCGCGCCCUUCGGGUUGAGCGGCGGACGGGUGAGUAACGCGUGGGAACGUUCCCUUUUCUACGGAAUAGCCUCGGGAAACUGAGAGUAAUACCGUAUACGCCCUUUGGGGGAAAGAUUUAUCGGAAAAGGAUCGGCCCGCGUUGGAUUAGGUAGUUGGUGGGGUAAUGGCCUACCAAGCCGACGAUCCAUAGCUGGUUUGAGAGGAUGAUCAGCCACACUGGGACUGAGACACGGCCCAGACUCCUACGGGAGGCAGCAGUGGGGAAUCUUAGACAAUGGGGGCAACCCUGAUCUAGCCAUGCCGCGUGAGUGAUGAAGGCCUUAGGGUUGUAAAGCUCUUUCAGCUGGGAAGAUAAUGACGGUACCAGCAGAAGAAGCCCCGGCUAACUCCGUG